rnacentral:tRNA from 1 species
GGCGUAGCUCAACGGUAGAGCGGGUGAUUUGUAAUCACCAGGUUUUGGGUUCGAAUCCCAUCGCC